AUUGGGACUGAGACACGGCCCAAACUCCUACGGGAGGCAGCAGUAGGGAAUUUUCGGCAAUGGAGGAAACUCUGACCGAGCAACGCCGCGUGAACGAUGAAGUAUUUCGGUACGUAAAGUUCUUUUAUUAGGGAAGAAUAAAUGAUGGAAAAAUCAUUCUGACGGUACCUAAUGAAUAAGCCCCGGCUAACUAUGUGCCAGCAGCCGCGGUAAUACAUAGGGGGCAAGCGUUAUCCGGAAUUAUUGGGCGUAAAGGGUGCGUAGGCGGUUAAAUAAGUUUAUGGUCUAAGUGCAAUGCUCAACAUUGUGAUGCUAUAAAAACUGUUUAGCUAGAGUAAGAUAGAGGCAAGUGGAAUUCCAUGUGUAGUGGUAAAAUGCGUAAAUAUAUGGAGGAACACCAGUAGCGAAGGCGGCUUGCUGGGUCUUUACUGACGCUGAGGCACGAAAGCGUGGGGAGCAAACAGGAUUAGAUACCCUGGUAGUCCACGCCGUAAACGAUGAGUACUAAACGUUGGGUAAAACCAGUGUUGAAGUUAACACAUUAAGUACUCCGCCUGAGUAGUACGUACGCAAGUAUGAAACUUAAAGGAAUUGACGGGACUCCGCACAAGCGGUGGAUCAUGUUGUUUAAUUCGAAGGUACCCGAAAAACCUCACCAGGUCUUGACAUGCUUCUGCAAAGCUGUAGAAACACAGUGGAGGUUAUCAGUUGCACAGGUGGUGCAUGGUUGUCGUCAGCUCGUGUCGUGAGAUGUUGGGUUAAGUCCCGCAACGAGCGCAACCCUUAUUGUUAGUUACCAGCACGUAAUGGUGGGGACUUUAGCAAGACUGCCAGUGAUAAAUUGGAGGAAGGUGGGGACGACGUCAAAUCAUCAUGCCCCUUAUGACCUGGGCUACAAACGUGAUACAAUGGCUGUUACAAAGGGUA
rnacentral:rRNA from 1 species